rnacentral:rRNA from 1 species
AUGAACAGUUUGUGUCAAUGGAUUCCCUUGUGGCUACGAUGGAACCUGAAUCAACGCGUCAUUGGGUCAAGAGAAGUUCCGAUUGAAGUUCAAUAUGAAUCUUUGGGGACUUAUCAUGAGAUUUAUGCCCACUAUCUAAUAAUGGGAAAUAGAAAAAAAGAAAUUCGCGAUGAUUUUAUUGAAAAAGAUCGUGCUCGCGGUAUCUUUUUCACUCAGGACUGGGUAUCCAUGCCAGGUGUUAUACCGGUAGCUUCAGGUGGUAUUCAUGUUUGGCAUAUGCCAGCUCUGACCGAAAUCUUUGGGGACGAUUCUGUAUUACAAUUUGGCGUACAAGAAAAAAGUGGAAGUAAACAUAAGCAGUGUAAACUCUUUAUCCCAAGGUUGAUAUUUUUUAAUUAG